UACGUAGGCAGCGAGCGUUGUUCGGAGUUACUGGGCGUAAAGGGUGUGUAGGCGGUCUUCUAAGUCUGGUGUGAAAUCUCCCGGCUCAACGUGGGAGGGUGCGCCGGAAACUGGGAGGCUAGAGUGUGGGAUGGGAGAGUGGAAUUCCUGGUGUAGCGGUGAAAUGCGUAGAUAUCAGGAGGAACACCUGUGGUGUAGACGGCUCUCUGGACCGCAACUGACGCUGAGACACGAAAGCGUGGGUAGCAAACAGG
rnacentral:rRNA from 1 species